rnacentral:rRNA from 1 species
AGUGAACGCUGGCGGUAGGCCUAACACAUGCAAGUCGAACGGCAGCACAGUAAGAGCUUGCUCUUACGGGUGGCGAGUGGCGGACGGGUGAGGAAUACAUCGGAAUCUACUUUUUCGUGGGGGAUAACGUAGGGAAACUUACGCUAAUACCACAUACGACCUACGGGUGAAAGCAGGGGAUCUUCGGACCUUGCGCGAUUGAAUGAGCCGAUGUCGGAUUAGCUAGUUGGCGGGGUAAAGGCCCACCAAGGCGACGAUCCGUAGCUGGUCUGAGAGGAUGAUCAGCCACACUGGAACUGAGACACGGUCCAGACUCCUACGGGAGGCAGCAGUGGGUAAUAUUGGACAAUGGGCGCAAGCCUGAUCCAGCCAUACCGCGUGGGUGAAGAAGGCCUUCGGGUUGUAAAGCCCUUUUGUUGGGAAAGAAAAGCAGCAGGUUAAUACCCCGCUGUUCUGACGGUACCCAAAGAAUAAGCACCGGCUAACUUCGUG